rfam:Camelus ferus unplaced genomic scaffold scaffold536, whole genome shotgun sequence.
GAGGGUAUAGCUCAAGUAGUAGGGUGCAUGCUUUGCAUGCACGAGGUCCUGGGUUGAAUCCCCAAUACCUCCU